UACGGGGGGGGCAAGCGUUGUUCGGAAUUACUGGGCGUAAAGGGCGCGUAGGCGGCUCGCUAAGUCGGGUGUGAAAACUCUGGGCUCAACCCAGAGCCUGCAUUCGAAACUGACGAGCUUGAGUUCUGGAGGGGAAAGCGGAAUUCCUGGUGUAGCGGUGAAAUGCGUAGAUAUCAGGAGGAACACCGGUGGCGAAGGCGGCUUUCUGGACAGAAACUGACGCUGAGGCGCGAAAGCUAGGGGAGCAAACAGG
rnacentral:rRNA from 1 species